rnacentral:rRNA from 1 species
CCUGGCGGCCAUAGCGCCGUGGAACCACCUGAACCCAUGCCGAACUCAGAAGUGAAACGCGGUAGC